rnacentral:tRNA from 1 species
AAAGAUUUAGUUUAAAUUAAAACAUAAAUUUGUCAAUUUUAAAAUACUUAUUAAGUAAUCUUUU